GUCUCCCUGGAAGUACACACACAGUAUGUAGUGAUUACUUGGGUAACAACACCAAAUUAGUUACUAUUAUUGUUGCCCAAUGUUUUAUUUUUGUCCAUUUUAUGUUACAAAAAUACGUACCUUACCAGGUCCAGUUGCUCCCUUAGUGCAAUAUGAUUUUUCCUUUUCACACUCCUUACUUAUUGUUACAUUGACUUCCAUGAGUACAACAGACAUAUAACUUAUAUCCUUGUUUGUUCUUCCCCAGCCGGAGACUAUACAUGAUUUUGG